UACGGGGGGGGGCAAGCGUUGUUCGGAAUUACUGGGCGUAAAGGGCUCGUAGGCGGCCAACUAAGUCGGACGUGAAAUCCCUCGGCUCAACCGGGGAACUGCGUCCGAUACUGGAUGGCUUGAGUACAGGAGAGGGUGGGGGGAAUUCCAGGUGUAGCGGUGAAAUGCGUAGAUAUCUGGAGGAACACCGGUGGCGAAGGCGCCCACCUGGCCUGCUACUGACGCUGAAGCUCGAAAGCUAGGGGAGCAAACGGG
rnacentral:rRNA from 1 species